UCUCUCAGUUGCAUUCAUACGGCUGGGUUGCGUAAUGUAGGAACAAAUGUUUAAUUUUAAAUUCGUAGGAAAAGUGGAUAAAUAUCCGGAACUGUAUAUUUACAAAUUGAAAGGGUAUUCAAUGAAGGAGGUGACAGAGAGAGCACGGCACGAAGUAGCCAAGGAGGUUGAUCAUCAGAUAGAUGCAACGGGUUAACCCAAGAUGAUCAGAGUCUGCAGAACCUUUACUCCAAAAUCAUUGUUUUCAGUGUUGGUGAUAAUGCUAUCAAUGAUUAUCUAUCUUUGAUCAGUCACUACAAAAUGCUUUUCUUGCCACUGCCACUGCCAGUCUACAGACAUCUGUCUGAGAAUCUGGCUGAAAACCCAAAGAGAUUCUGGUCAUACAUAAAGCACACCAGUGAACAAAACAGUCACCUAUAAGUGCAGAAUUCACAACAUGGACUGAACUCUCCCCAAGCUUGGGGGAAAUUGUUCUACAAAUUUUGGAGUAUGUGUCUCAAAAUGUAUUAAACUUAUUUUAUUUCUAAAAGUAACAGAUAAUUCGUACAUUCCUUAGGUAUCACACAGUUGUAUGUUUCCCAAUUCUGCUCAAAUUUAAAUAGCUGUAAGCGAACUACUAUGUAAAUGGAACCCAAAUGUGUAUUAAUCUCACCUUGGUUUGCAGUACUUGGACAUAUAUUAAUUUCAGUCCAGAACUAUUGCUUAUAGUAUAUCUGUCAAGAGCUGCUACUGUUUGGUGUCAAGGACUAACAGACAAUUUUAAUUUGUUUUCACUGAAAGUUUAUUUGUGUUUAAUAAAUGUUAUUACUCCUAAAGUAAGAGAUACAAUAGUGACCAACAUAUUUUGUUGUUAACACUUCCCACUGUGGUCAGAUAUUUCAUGAUUGAAGCCAUGUCAAAAUAUCUGUGAGCUCAGUUGUGUAAAUAAAUGAAAAAACAGCAUCUGAAUCACAUUUUUUUUUAUUGAAGAAUAUCAGUUUUGAUAUGUCCUGUAAAUUAUGUUCCAGCAUAGAUGUGUUUCCUUAUCAGCUUUGACAGCAACUGUUUGUCCUGUUUUAAGACUGUCAUUUAAAUUUUCUAAAAUUGCUUGAUUCCUUUGGUCUAUGCUUAAGGAUGCAAUUUCAAGUUGAGUUGAACAAUUACUGUAAAUUAAAGGGAAAUCCAUUAUCUAUUGUGCUAAAAUCUAUUAUUUAUUACAAUAUAGUAAAUAACUAGCUUAGCGCCCGUGCUUCACUUGUGUAUACGUGUGGCCUCCACAGAUUUGUUUGUUUUUCUUUAACCAGAUUUUUUGUUGUUCACAAACUGCAACACAUGCUAAACUUUUCACAUUAAUUAAGGCCAUAAAAUCAUGGUCUUUUCCGAUGUACUUUGAUCAAACAGCAAUUUUCUAGCUUGGGUCAAAGUUUUUGUUCAUCAAGCUUUUGGUGUUCUUGUGGAGAUAUUUCCAUACAAACUUUCACGCCCUACCAGAUAUUUCUUUAUAUCUAAUUGAGAAGUGAAAUAUCAAUUUUCAUAGAUUUAACUUUAAAAUUUUUCAACACAAAUACACAUUUCCUUGAAAAUUUUCAUCUCCUAUUUCACUCCCAUAAGGGCUUGAAAUCCAGAACCAGUGAAACACUUUUUUUUAUUCCUAACAGAGAAGCCAAAUACAAAUUUUCAUAGAUUUAGCUUCGAAAGAGCUUUAAUAAUGAAUACAUGUUGGAAACUUGUCAUCCCCUAUACCACAUCUUUAGGGGACUGAAUUUCCAAAAACACUGAAAAAUGUAUUUUUUAUGGGUAACUGAGAAGUUAGACACAAAUCUUUAUAGAUGUAGCUUUAAAUAUGCUUUAGUAGUUUCUUUAAUAACAAUUUAAUUUUAAAAAAAAUUCAUCCACUAUUUUAUGCCCAAAGGGGUUAAAUUUCCAAAAAUGCUUGAAGCGUAACAGCCCAUU